rnacentral:rRNA from 1 species
UACGUAGGGGGCAAGCGUUGUCCGGAUUUAUUGGGCGUAAAGAGCGUGUAGGCGGCCAGACAGGUCUGCUGUGAAAACUCGAGGCUCAACCUCGAGACGCCGGUGGAAACCGUCUGGCUAGAGUCCGGAAGAGGAGAGUGGAAUUCCUGGUGUAGCAGUGAAAUGCGCAGAUAUCAGGAGGAACACCGGUGGCGAAGGCGGGACUCUGGGCCGAUACUGACGCUGAGGAGCGAAAGUGUGGGGAGCGAACAGG